AUCUCUUUCUCUCUCCCAACAAAAACCCAAUCUCGUCUUUGCCUACUAAACAAUGAACAAAAUUCUGAAAAUCAUCAUAAAAAUCUUAUGAUCAUCAAUAAAAAUUGAAGAAAUCCAUGGGAACCAUAAGAAUUACUUUAUUCUCAUACUGAAUUAUCUAAAAAUUCACUGAAAACCCUAGAUUUUCUGUGAAUCUCCAUUAAAAUAGUAAAAACAAGAAGAAUCAUCAAAAUAUUAUGAGAAGAGUAAGUAAUUCUACUCCAAAUCAGUAGAAGAAAUACAUCACAAAGUACGUAGUACGCAAAAAAAGAUAAGUUGCAACGACGUCAAAAAAUGGAUGGCGUUGAAGAGUAAGGAGUAACAAAGGUGCGAGAAAUGGAUAUUAUUGAACAAUGAGUCCCAUAGGUAUGACAAAAGGAAAAAAUAUAUGUUUUAUGAAGAGGAAAAGUACGAAGACUUGAUGUUAAGAAACCAUAAAAGGCAUCAGUCAAUCAAUUAGAUGCUGCAAAAUUCUUAAAAAUAACGAAGGAAAUAACCAAAUAUGGAACUUCUGAAUGGAAAGAUAUGCACAGUAAUAUUCAUGGAUUGAAUAGUUCCUGCGCAGAUGCUUUCUGUAUGGAUCUGAGAGCGCAGCAACAACUGCAAAAGGGGAUAUUGGUGUUCUUGCAGCAUCAUAAGGGGAUAUUGGUGUUCUUUGUUAUUUAUUGUCUUGUCACUGUUAAAUUUUUUCUAUAUUAAUUUUGAUAUAUGUUUUUCUAAACAUAUUAUGUAUUCUGUAUGUCUCCAUUUGAGAGAGUCUAAUGGAGAUAGGAGUAAUUGAGAUGUGAUUGGAUCGCAAAGGAUAUAAGAUUGUAUGGAUUUUUUCAAAGUACAUCUUUUAUACACUAUGAUUUUCCAGGA